rnacentral:rRNA from 1 species
AUUGAACGCUGGCGGCAGGCCUAACACAUGCAAGUCGAACGAGUGGCGGACGGGUGAGUAAUGUCUGGGAAACUGCCCGAUGGAGGGGGAUAACUACUGGAAACGGUAGCUAAUACCGCAUACCAUCAGAUGUGCCCAGAUGGGAUUAGCUAGUAGGUGGGGUAACGGCUUACCAAGGCAACGAUGCAUAGCGGGCCUGAGAGGGUGAUCUGCCACACUGGAACUGAGACACGGUCCAGACUCCUACGGGAGGCAGCAGUGGGGAAUAUUGCACAAUGGGCGCAAGCCUGAUGCAGCCAUGCCGCGUGUAUGAAGAAGGCCUUCGGGUUGUAAAGUACUUUCAGCGGGGAGGCGUUACCCGCAGAAGAAGCACCGGCUAACUCCGUGCCAGCAGCCGCGGUAAUUC